rnacentral:rRNA from 1 species
GAUGAACGCUGGCGGCGUGCCUAAUACAUGCAAGUCGAACGGGGAGUAGCAAUACUCUUAGUGGCGAACGGGUGAGUAACGCGUUGGUACCUGCCCCGAAGCGGGGGAUAACGGACCGAAAGGUCCGCUAAUACCCCAUGUGCUCGGUAACGAGUAAAGGUGAAAACCACUUUGGGAGGGGCCUGCGUCCCAUCAGCUAGUUGGUAAGGUAACGGCUUACCAAGGCGAUGACGGGUAGGGGACCUGAGAGGGUGGCCCCCCACAAUGGAACUGAAACACGGUCCAUACACCUACGGGGGGCAGCAGUAGGGAAUAUUGGUAAUGGGCGCAAGCCUGAACCAGCAACGCCGCGUGUGCGAUGACGGCCUUCGGGUUGUAAAGCACUUUUGACUGGGACGAGGAAGGACGGUACCGGUCGAAUCAGCCUCGGCUAACUACGUG